rnacentral:lncRNA from 1 species
CACCUCAUUGCCACCUGCGGAUUACAUGACCAAUCCUCAGUAUGGUGGUUCCUCCAAUGAUCUCAUGAGCUUUAACGACUUCGUAUGGUGAUGCGAUUGAAGUUGAUAUAGCUAUAUAGAAGUGGUAUAAAAAAUUUAAAAAGAAAAGAUUAUCGCUCAUCAUAUUCAUAUCUAUCUAUUGAUAAAGUAUUUUUGUCAAUCUAUUAUUUAUGAAAAAUAAUAUUAGUUACAUAUAUAAGUUUCAUUUGGGUUUUAUAAAGCAUAAGAGAUAAUAGACGAAAAUAUAAUUCAGGAAUUAAAAAAAAAACAAUAUUUGGGUUCAUCCCUAAGAUGAAUGGUUAAAUUUACCUCACUUUUUAUAAUCAACCAAAGUGCCAUGUAAAAUUAAUUAAAAAGACAAUAAUUUUUUAAAAAAAAAUGGCUGAAAAAAUCAGCACUGACAUUAACACCGUCUACAAAACCCGAAAUCUAAAAUCUAAACCUUAAACCUUAAAUCUUAAACUCUAAUUCCUAAACCUAAAAAAACUUUAAACCAUAAACCCUAAAUACUAAAUACUAAACUCUAAACCCAAAAUCUUGAACUCUAAACCCAAAGCUCUAAACCAUAAAUCCUAAACCAUCAAUCCUAAACCUUAAACUCUAAACCAUAAAUCCUAAACCCUAAACCCAAAACUCUAAACUAUAAAUUCGAACCCUGAUCAAGUGAUGGAUUUAGGGUUUAAUUUAGAGUUGUGUUUUUUGGGUUUAGGGUUUAGGAUUUAGGAUUUAGGGUUAGGUUUUUGGGUUUAGGGUUUAAGAUUUUGGGUUUAGAGUUUAGGGUUAAGAGUUUUGGAUUUAGAGUUUAGGAUUUAGAGUUUUGGGUUUAGGAUUUGGGGUUUAAAGUUUAGGUUUUAGGUUUAGGGUUUAGAUUUUUGAUUUUUAAAGUUUCGGGUUUUGCAGACGGCUUUAACGUUGGUGUUAUUUUUCUCAGCCACUUUUUUUUUUAAUUAAUCGUGCAUGACAAUUUGGUUGGUUAGGUGAAUUUAACUAUUCACUAGGCCUGGGCAUUCGGGUCCUCGGGUCGGGUUCGGGUCGGGUCGUCUCGGGUCCGGGUCCUUCAGGUCUUAGAGUUUAGGACCCGAUAGGAUAAUUUGAAAAUUUCGGUUUCGGAUCGGUUCGGGUAAAGGAUAUAGGAACCGGUAAUACCCAAGUAUUUUCGGGUCAUACAACUUUUCGGGUCGGUUCUCGGGUUUUCGGGUCUUUUAAGGAUUUUCGGGUAUUUUUAAUGGUUUACGGGUCGGUUUUCUUCAUUCUCGGUUUGGGUUUGUAAUAUUCGGGUCCAUAAUACCCUAUAUACCUGAGCUUUACCCUAUAUUUCUGUAAAAACCUGAAAUGAAUUGUUAUGUAAAAAAGUUUAAAACGAGCAAUAAGAUUAAUGAUUCUAAUCUUUCUAUGACAAUUUUCAAACUUCAUACUUCAUUAAAAACAACAAAUUCAUAACAAUACCACAACUUAGUAGCAGAAUGACAAUAUAAAGUUUUACCAUAAGAAGUUUUAAACAUGAUGAGUGCAAAUUCAAAAACAAAAACAACAACAACAAACCAACAACAUUCAAUAGUCUCAGUCUCGAACUUUUGACUCUUCUACCAGCAACAUUCAACCUUGAAACACAGGUUCAAAUUCUGUAACAAAAAGAUCAAUGCAACAAGUCAAUACCAAAAUACAAAACAUAAUGCCAUACGAAUUAAAGAGUUUAAAAACCAGAAUUAUACCUCUCAUAAGAUCAUCUUGCUCCUCUAUCAGCUUAAGCAUUUGUUCCUUUCCUUUGAUUCCUUUUUUUUGACUCUAAUCUCGCAUUUGAGCCACUGCUCCGUGCACAUUAGUACUUCAAUCAUAAAAUGCGUCAAACAGCUUCUGCUUGGGUCUAAAAUUCGUCCACUGGUGCUGAAGGCAGAUUCAGAUGCAACUGAACUCACUCAUUGAAGUAGUCGUUGUAGGGCUUGUCCUCAGCUUCCAUCUUCUCAAAAGCCACCUUGAACUUUAAUGCUUGCUCUAGCAUCAAAUUGGUCGCAUUCCACCUAGUUUUCACAUCCAAAGGUAAGCUUCCUCUCUGAAGUCUUCCUGACUCUACAUGUCGCUCAAAAGAAAUCUGCCUCUGAGUUGAAGACCUCACAAAAUAAAUGGCAUUACGAAUGGCAUUGACACUGCUCUCUAUCUCCAGCAAACCCUCUUUAACAAUCAGAUUGAGAAUGUGAGUAGCACACCUAAAAUGCAGAAACUUUCCAUCUAGAACCAAUGCAUCAGCGCCAUUUUUCUCAAUAAAAGCUUCAGAAAACUUUCUCAAUGCAGAAGUAUUAGCUGUGGCAUUAUCUACAGUUAUGCCAUACACCCUUUUGAUAUCCCAUUCCUCUAAGCAAUCAAGAAGUACCUUAUAAUCCAGAAAAAAAAACAAGAAUCAAAAUCGGGUUACAUAACAACAACAUGGACGUUAUCAACUUAAUAAAAAACAGAAACAAGCGAUAAAUUCAGUUUAAAAAAUUCAGUUAAAUCCAAUGAGCAAGAGAUAAAUUCAGUUAAAAAACUCAGUUAAAUCCAUUGAGCAAGAGAUAAAUUCAGCUAAAACAAUUAAAUCCAAUGAGCAAGAGAUAGAUUCAGCUAAAAAAAAUUAUAUCCAAGAAGUACCUUAGAUAUUGUUGAUCCUUUGUGAUCAUACACAUUCUUGAAUCCAAUGAUGAGUUUCCUCAAAUGCCACGAGCUGUCUACAAAAUGUGCCGUAAUGACCAUGUAGCUGGCACCGGUAUGAGGAGCAUUCCAAAUAUCAGUCGUCAGUGACAGCCGUUGAUUGUUCUCCUUCAGAAUCUUCUUCAUUGCCUCUUUCUUUUGCACAAAGGUCUCAACAAUAUCUCGGGUUGCUGUUCUUCUAGAAUGAGGCACGUACAACUUAGUCUUGUUGCAGAAGUUCCUCCAAGCUACGCUCUCCACCCAAGAUAAAGGCAACUCUCCCACAACCAUCAUCUCAUUUGUCUCGUGUCUGAAGACAGAUUCAGAUACUCUGCACACUCUGACGUUACCAUCUUCUUCGACAUCUAAAGCAUCUUGAGUAUUAUCUUUGUUCACAGCUAACCAUGCUUGGUAAGCCUUGCACGCAAGAUUCACAUGUUUCUUCAAGCUUGUUGUUCCUGAUCUUGUUGCACAUGCCAUCUCUUUCCCACAAUAGUUGCAGAUGGCUCUAUCAUUGUCUUCUCUCUUUCUAGUAAAGUGUUCCCAAACCUUUGACGUCCUCUUCUUUUCUGACCUUGAGCCACUGCAGUUUUCGGUUUUCUUUCGUUUUCCUUUGUUACGAGAGAUUGGAGUCUCAAUUUCAUCUUCUGAUAUAUCUACUGGUGGAUCAUCACCACAAGAUGCCAUCUGCAUUAUAGACAAAACAAAAAUCAAACUCGGAUUAUGUAACAACAACAACGACAUGUUCUAAUAAUAAACAGAAGUUACAGAACACAAGACUACAAGAGUCAAGAGAAAUAAACAUUGAGUUUAAUCAAACAUUGAGGUUUAAUCAAACAUUGAAGAUCAAGAUCAGAGGAACAGAAACAGAAGAGAUAAAUACAGUUUAAAAAACUAUAAACAAGAAUCAAGCUUGGGUUUAAUCAACAAGAAUCGAUACCAUAAACAAGAACCAAACUCGGAUUAAAACAAAAGCCAUAAACAAAAUCGAGACUUACCCUGCUUUGAUUUGUAGACAAUGCUGUCGCUGAUGAAGAAGUGGGUAGGGUUAGGGGGUUUCGAAGGAGAACUUGAUUAUGAUGAGAUUCCAGUUUGAUAAUGUUUGUUGAUUUCGGAUUUAUAUGUUGAUAGAUCAAUAAAGUAGCGACUCUUCGAUUCAAUUUUUUUUAGGGGAGUGGAACGAUGUAGGAGGAGGUGUUGCUGCAUCGGGGAAGCCGGGAAGAGAAGAGAUAGAUGUAGGCUGGUUUAGAUAGAUGUAGGCUGGUUUAGGUUUGGUUUAGGGAAUUGAUUCGGGUCUAAAAUUAACCCUAUCGGAUAUAGGGUACGGUUCGGGUAGGGUACUCUACCCGCGGGUCCGUAGUCUCAAGACCCAAUAGGGUAAUAUGGUGUCACCCGAACCGGGUUUUUCGGGUCGGUUCCGGUCCACAUUUUCGGGUCCGGGUAAAAUGCCCAGGCCUACUAUUCACCAUGGGAGUGAGCCUAAGUAUUGUUCAAAAAGAAAUCAGCAAUAGCUGAUCGACUAAGUAAUAGAUAAAUAUUUCCAUUUGCAACAUUUAUAACAAUGUAACUAUGUAUUUAGUUACUAGGUGAUUCGUCCGCGCAUGCAUGCAUAAUCAUUAUAAAAUUAUUUAUUAAUAUCAUUAUUAAUUUAUAGACCAUCAUUAUAAGUUAUUGUUUAUGCUCUCAGAUAGUUUAAAAAAAACAUCACAUUAUUUAUAUAUGAAUAAGUUGUUUAUCAAAAUAUAUAUUCUUAUUAUUGUUUUAAAAAUUUUGCAAUCAUGUAUUAUACAUAUUUUGAAAAGUUCGUUACUGUAUUAAAUUCUUAGAAACUCUCAUGUAUUAUAAAUAUUUUGAUUUUUUCGCAAUUGCUUUAAAUCUUUUUAGAAAUUCUCAUGUAUUAUAAUAUAUUGAAAAAUAUUUGUAUACACUACAUUCAAUUAAACAUUUAAUUAUGCAUCUAUUUAUAUCUUAAUUUAUAUUUUUAUUUAUGAAAAAAUUGGAUAGUAACAAAGUAUAUGUAAGAAUUAUUUUUUAUUUUAAAAAAUAUGUUUCUAUAUUUCAACAAUUUUAACUGUAUUAAUUUAUAAUCAAUUAUCUAACAAAUAAAUAAUUUAGUUGUUCAUUAAAGUUAACCGCUCUAACUUUUACGUGAAAGUUCGGAUCGAAAAAAAUUAUUUUGUAAAUAAUAAAUUUGUCAAAACCGUGUAUAUAUAAUUAAAAAGUGAUUUUCUGAUUAAUUAGAUAAGCACGUCUAAAACUUUGAUCCAAACCCUAACCGAUAUACAGUAUCUAAGCCCAGCCCUUUUGGUCCUAUAAAUAGACUGUACUACUUAACAGACUUUUAACUCUGGAGUAUGAGUCUAAGAACCUAAAACAGAGCCCAGAUAAGUAGCCAUAGCAAUAGUUUAAAAGCAUUUUUUUAUUGCUAUGAGGUAUCAAGGUCGUAAUCCCUCCGAGCUCGAAAACACAACACUUAAUAUAAUAUAUUAGGAUCGGCCUGCGCUACGCGCAUGAUAUGAUUGUCGCGUGGUCUAUAUAUUAUUAUAUAUUGUACAUUUUUAUUGCGCUGCCAAUUGUUGCCAUACAUGAGAUUAUGUGUUCUUUGGAUGUUAGGUUGUUGACUUGUAUUAUUUUUAUAUUUGUUUGGAUAGUAAAAGUGGUUUUGGCUGACCGAAUGAGUAUAAAUAGAACUAAUAACUGAUAGUUGUAACAGAGUAAAUGAAGUUGAACUAAAAACAUAUUGUAAAGUUGAUUGUACAAAAUGGAAUUUGUCAAUGCAUGUAUUUUAUAUUAUUUCGUGGGUUAUUGAAUAUAUCGAAGAAUGUAAUUUUUGUUGUGAAUUUUUCCUGAUUUUGAGGUAAAUAUGGUGUGAACAUGUAGGAAGUUUAUGGUGAACGUAUAAUACUCCCUCCCUUCCAUAAAAAUAUAUUUUUUAGUAUUUUCACACAUAUUAAGAAAACACACUAAAUUACUAUAAUAAAUAUAUUGUUUUCUGUAAUUUUUAAUAAUUUUUAAUCAAUAAUAAUUCAAUAAAGUCAAUUAAUUUUCUUGAAGUUUACAAUUUUUUUAUAGAAAACACAAAAAAUACAUCUUUCUGAAACAAAUUUUUUUCUAAAAAAUCUAUCAUUAAAGAACGGAAGGAGUAAUAUAGUAAAUUUUCUUCAAUGUCAGUUAUAGAUUUCGUAACAAUUGUUGUCGUUUUUUCCUAUUUAUGUUUUUGUGGCGCUUUUUUGCUUAGUUUUAGGGUGCAAUAAUAAUAUGAGGGAAUAGGUUACUGAUCAGUUUAUUUUUCAAGAUGUUGGUUACAUUGAAUUGUUGGCUAAUGAGUAAUAUUUAUUUUUGCAUUUUUUAUUUGUUUAUUUAUUUGGUGAUGUCAAGUAUUGCUAAGCUCACAUUUUUGUGGGUUAGAUAAUGGAAAAUUCUCUCAACUAGACAUUUUUAAGUUUUUGUCACAAAAGUAUACUUAAAAAAAUGACCAAAAUAACCCCAUUUUAUUUUAAAAUUUGUAAUAUUUAUUUUUAAUUUGUAAUAUUUAUUUUUAAUUUUUAAAAAUUUGAAACAAUAUCUCCAAAACCUUACCCCGUAACUCUAAACCCUAAGUCUAGAUUAGUUAAUCAUAGGGUAAAAAUAUAUUUUUAUCAUUUAAUAAAACUUAUUUUGGUCAUUUAUUUUCUUCAUUGAGCAGUAUUUUUGUGACAAAAACUUAAAAAGCGCUAUUCUAGGAAAUUUUUCUUAGAUAAUUGGUUAUUUUAUAUUUCUUAGAUGUGGUUUUUGUCUUUUGAAAUUUUUAUGAAUUACAAAUCUUAUUCUAAAAAUGAAAACAUAACAUUUUUUCAAAUAUUAUACAGAUUAGAUGCAUGGAGAAGAGAUGACGCAAUGUUCGUAGUAGAUUUGGUUGAUUUUGAGGACUGAUUAAAAUAAAAAUAGAACUAACUACAUAAGGUAAAGCAACGUAUGCAUAACCUUUUUUUUUUUUUUGAUAAAACGUAUGCAUAACUUAAACUUAAACAAAGAAGACAUAAACACACACGAAAAGAUUUAGGAAGAAAAAAGGCUUAAUAUCUGAAUGGAGGAUUAAGUUUCAAGAUUUCAAAUUUGUAUUAUUAAUAGUUAAUUAAUGAUAAACAAAUCCAUAUAAAUAUAGGAAAAUUAUUAUUAUAAUUUUAUGUUGAGUGUAUGUAUCCCUUUGACAUCAGUGUUGAUCUGUGUUUACUUCUGCAGGUUAGUCGUGUUUGUAAUUCCUGUGAGUGGGAGGUGUGUGAUAUUGUUAAUUAAUUAUUAUGGUAAGAUGGAAUCUUCGGAUUGUUCUAACUACGGGUUGCUUCAAGGAAAGGGAGGUCCUGGGUAUUGAUAUGCCUGGUCUGGAGGUGUGUGUUAGCUGUGUUGUAGUUAGUGGGCACCUGUAUUUUAAAUUGUUUGUUCUAACUGUUCUGGCAUGCCGACGGUCUAAUUGUACAAAAAUUUAAAUUAUUAGUGCGCACGGUUUAAUUUGUAAUGUUAUGGAUUGUAGUGAAGAGAGUGAUGAUGUAACGGUGACCUUUACGCAAUUGUAUUUUGAUAAUGUGACCAAUUAUAGUAUAGUUUCUAGUAGGUACUCUGAGAGUAUUUGUGGUUGCAUGUUGACAAAACGCACAUCUAAUUUUAUGUGUAGAAUAAAUUUUUAGUGCCUCACUAAAUUUUUUGACCUUGCUGGGUUUAGAGAUGCUCGGCUUGCAUCUGAAGAUGCUAUUUUUUUCCUGAGAUGAAACAUUAAAAAGCAUGUUAAAUCAUAUGUUUUUGAAAUUAUUGACAACACCCAAAUUAUCAUUGUAACGAUGCUCUAACAUUUGAAUAUCAGUACAUUAGCUUGGAUGCCGAUGUUAAAAUGUGUAAAUCGUUGAGAAUGACUUGAGUUAAUUAAAAAGACGGUUCAAACCAAAGUUAAUAGACUUAUAAUGCAACUGGAUUGUAAAUAUUUGGAAUGAAAUGAUGUGGAAUGGUCUAUUCCAUUAAUUUUAUAAAAAAAUUUACCAUUUGACAUGAAUGGAAUGUAAUACUCAUUCCAUCAAUUCCAAAAAUAAAUAGAGAAAAUACAAAGAGAAUCAUUCCAUAACAAAUUUGAUCAUGAAAAAAUGGAAUGAAUUCAAUUCCAUUUUUUGCUGUAUUCCAUUCCUACCAUUCCAUUUAUUUUAAAUUCCACAAAUUCCAUAUAUGUUUACCGGUUACACCCUUAGAAAAAGCAAACACUAACAGUUCCAAAUAAAUUAUUGGAUCCCAAAAUGAAACGUAAAAAGUUAUAAUGGUCUACAUAAAGUGCAUCUGGCCCAUUAUCUCCAUCGAUGGAGUGUAUAUUAUCUCUUUCAUCUGUGCAAUCAAAGAAGUUGAAUGUUGGAAACUGAUGUUUGAAGAAUCAACUCUUUCUUUCUCUGUUCUUGGUUUCUUAGUCUUCCAUUGAUUCUCAUAGUAUAUGAGCUUGAGACUUCCAUUCUCAGAAUCAUACUGAGGAUGGUGAACAAUAAGGACGUGACUUCCUGUAUUGUCUCUGUUUCUCUUCAAAGACUUGGGUUUUGUUAUUGCUCUGUCAUGAUCUCUCUGUUUUCAGUCUUCUGUCGAUAUUGUUGUUGCUGUUUGUCGUUGCUGAUAACAAACAAUUGAGCGAUGAAAGAUCGAUCGAAGUAGCUUUGUCACCAACAUGUUGAAUUUCACCAAUGACUCAAAUUCGUGCACAAAUGAGUUGGUGAGAAGAAGAGCAGAGUUCUUAGCCAUAAGCUUAUUUCAUCCCCAUAUCAAAUCUGAUCCUUGAUGCUCCAUGAUUUUGCUCUCUCGGGUCACUCCAUAGAUAUCUUGCGCGUAAACGGAUUCUAAUCCUUCCAUUGGAUCAAACAAAGCCCUGAGAAAACCAACAACGCCAAUGUGAGAAACAAAGCAAGUUUUCCAUAUAGAAAUGAUCAUUUCAUGGAACUUAUCUCCAUCUAUAUUCAUGUUCAUCUGUCCACAAAAACCAAAUUUUCAGGUUUGAAGUUUUCUUAAGAUGGUUGAACAAAAAAAAAGUCUUCUUAAGAUUAAUCAAUGUCUUGCAAACAUAUAUAUAUAACGUUUGUAGUCAUACAUUAUUUUCAGCCAAGAUAGGAGGGAGUAAUGGUAGGAGAAUCUUCAUUGGCGGACUUGAACUCCUGCGUCUUGAGGUUCAACCCUGGCUUCACCCAUACUUUGGCUUCAUAAAGUGUCUUCUUCCCAACCCCCAAUGAUCUCCAGGGUGAGAUGAUGCAUCGUUUUUUCUACAACUUUUUCUUUCUCGUUCACCACCGCACAAACUUGACCACUGCAUUAUACGAUUUUGAAAAACCAAGAGCCCAAAACAUUACUCAAUGAUAAAAUCACUUCCAAGCCUGGCCAAAGAGAUCUAUAUAAACGUACUCAUCAUCCACCAUAAAUCAAUUCCCAAGAUCUACACUUAUCACACUGAAACACUAAACAUGCGAAGGUAUAACAGUAACUGAAAGCAAGAUGAAUAAUUAGAAAUAACACUAAAUCCCGUUAUAGAUUAAACGGAUAUCAAAGCAGAAACAUGAAUCGAUAACAAAAGCUAUCAUAACAAAUUUUGGUUUUAGUGUAAGAAAAGAAAAAAAUAAAACUUAAAACUAAAAGCUUAAAACAACUCUUCCAGAAACAAUGACCAUGUGCAUAAACUGAAAUAAGUUAAAUCUCUCAGAAACCUAAGAGGAAAAACUGGUGAAUUUUACGGAAGGAAACUCACAUAUUUAUAGGUUGGAUUCACACGAUGCAUUGAUGAGGGCAUGCAUUUAAUCAGACAUCGUGGGAAGAGUGGAGGAUUGGUGUUAAUCUGAGCCUUAAUGGUGAUGCUUGAAUGUGGUCGACUUAUGUAACGGUGCUGGAUUUCGUUGCCAGUGAAACGACUCCAAUCGAUUAGCCACAUGAUUUUGUUUACCGGUUAAAAGAGUUCAAACCGAUUAGUCACACACGGCGUCCUCCAACUGAGUCUGGCCUGAGUUAGGGGCUGUUUGUUUCACCAUUUGUCAUCUCCAUCCAAAUGAUUCAUUUGUAUGAUCCAUUCAGAUUUUUCUGAUUGUUUGUUAAUCCAUCCAGAUAAUUCAUCUAGAUGAAUCAUCUAAAUGAAUCUUAUGUUUGUUUCUUUGUUUUCAUUUCCAUUCAAAUGAGUUUAGUAAACAAAUUACCAAAAUACCCUUGUAUUGUUUUAAUCAUAUGUUUGAUAUUAAUUUUAACUAUAUUACAUUUAAUUAUUUAGUUUAAUAUAUUUACAUUAAAAUUAUUUCAAAAUUAACGAGUUUUUUUUUUGCGGUUUGGACGAAAAAAAAAAGUUUUUUUGGUUUUAGCGAGAAAACACAUUUUUCGGUUUUGGCGGGAAAACAAGAUUUUUGGUUCUGGCGGGAAAACGAGAAACUUGGUUUUGGCGGGAAAAUACAAAUUUUUGGUUUUGGCGAGAAAACAUGUUUUUGCGGUUUUGGCGGAAAGAGACGUUUUUGGCGGGAAAACGCGCUUUUUGCGGUUUUGGAGGAAACACGUUUUUGCGAUUUUCACGGAAAAAUGAAUUUUUUUGGUUUUGGCGAGAAAACGAGAUCUUUCGUUAUUGGCGGGAAAACGCGUUUUUGCGGCUUUGGCGGGAAAACACGUUUUUUCGGUUUUGGCGGAACAACGCAUUAUUACGGUUUUGGUGGAUAACGCACUUUUUGCGGUUUUGGAGGAAACACGUUUUUGCGAUUUUCACGGAAAAACAAAUUUUUUCGGUUUUGGCGAGAAAACGAGAUCUUUCGUUAUUGGCGGGAAAACGCGUUUUUGCGGCUUUGGCGGGAAAACAUGUUUUUGCGGUUUUGGCGGAAAACCGCAUUUUUACAGUUUUGGCGGAAAAACGCAUUUUUGCGGUUUUGGCGGAAAAAAACACGUUUUUGCAGUUUUGGCGGGAAAUGCGUUUUGUAAUUUUGGUGGGAAAACACUCUUUUACAGUUUUGGCACGAAAACACGUUUUUGGCGGGAAAACGUGUUUUUGCGGUUUUGGCGGAGAAACACGUUUUUGGCGGGAAACGCGUUUUUGUGUUUUUUUUUGCGGUUUUCGCGGGAAAACAAGAUUUUUCGGCUUUGUCGGGAAAACGAGAUUUUUCGGUUUUGGCGGGAAAACGAGAUUUUUGAUUUUAGCCGGGAAACACGUUUUUUUGGUUUGGCGGGAAAAUACGUUUUUGCAAUUUUGGCGGGAAAACGUGUUUUUGUGUUUUAGCGGAAAAAUGUGUUUUGGGGUGUUGACGUGAAAACAUGUUUUUUGUGAUUUUUGGCAUGAAAACACGUUUUCUGUUUUUGCGAAAAAACACAUUUUUGCAAUUUUGACAGGAAAAUGCGUUUUUGGGGUUUUGGCGUAAAAAAAUAGUUUUAGGUUUUCGUGGAAAAACAUGUUUUUGUAGUUUUGUUAAUUUUCGUAUGAGACAAAAAUGAUAUUAUGUUUAGGUUUGUAAUUUGUGAAUUAUGUUAUGGACAUAAUAGAUAUUAUAUCAUUUUGAAUGAACUAUUUCCAUUCAAAUGAUCCAAAUUGGUUCAAAACUUUAAAAUUAAUCUUAAAUUUCUAAAUGUCAUUCGAAUGAUCCAUUUGAAUGAGUUGCACUUUUAGUGUCUAAACAAACAAAACUUUCAUUUUCACCCAAAUAAUUCAUCCAGACGAAGAAACAAACGGGUCCUUAGUGGUUCUCCAUGAUACAGUCGGAUGCGUGGAAGAACAUGAGAUGUUAUGCGGCGGCAACGGAGUUUUGGAGAAGAGAGACGUACAUGUGGGUUUCAUACUUUCAUUUAAUCAAUACACAAAGCCUUAUUUACUAAAGCCAAUUUGAAUAAGAUUACCAAAAGUCCAAUAAUGAUCCAUCAAAGAACUGAACGGAAAAGAAAUACCUUUACAAAUGACCGAAGCCCAUUAUUUAAAGGUUAAAUGAAACGCAUAGUAUAAGAAACUAGACACGUGUCGCCCUCUGGUGCAUAGAUUUUCUGAUCUGAAAUCCUAGGUGGCAGCACACUAGAAAUGAAGAAACCGUACGUCAUAUAUAUAGAAGAUUCCACCCGUCCACAAUAAAAUUCCUUUCACAUAGACGAAAAACAUCCAUAAUAAUCGACCGUCGAUUUUGCAUUGUAUCAUUAGGAAGGAAGUUUUUUUUUUUUUUUUUGGUAAAAAUGUUAAGUUUAUUACCAUUUUCAUUUUAGACAGAUUUUACAAAGAUCACAAGAAGCAUUAGGCAACUUUGCUUCCUCUCCCUUCAGUCAAGGCAAUGCUAUGUAUUCUAUGUUGUGCGUGGUUGGGGUCUCCUUCGUUUUUUCAAUACAUGAGAAAAACGUAACCUAUGAUUUUACCCUUAGCCCGACUGAAACACAUAUUCAGUCCACGUAAUUUAACUUCACAAACAUGGAACUUCAUACGAAUUCAGUCCACAAACGUAUUUAAUAUUGCGUUUCAGCAAGCCCUUUCUCAAAAAAUUAUUAUUAUGUUUCAUUAAACUUAUCUUUCAAAACAUUUUUUUUCUAAAAAAUAGAUCCUUUUAAAGCGGAUGGGGUAUAUUUUAUUGUGAUUCAUUAAUAUUUUAUUUAAAAAUCAAUUUAACAAAUUAAUAAUUUGUCAAAUUCUUUUACUGUUGAAACUUAACUGGAUUUAAAAGGACAUUAGGGAAUUCGAAUAAUAGUUAUACUGAACUGAUAAUCCUGAAUUUGGAUCUUAAUAUAUUGAAAUUCUAUGAUAUCUAACCAACUUCUAUAAAAAAUAUGCAAACAUUAUUUUGGUUUAAAAUAAAACAAAAAACAAAAUAUUUAAUACAAUCGAUAAUGCUCUCCAGGAUACGCUCCUGGCUUUGCUCCGACGGAUUGAUUGCAGAAUUUCACGUGAGCUUGUUUCAUCAAUCGGUAGGGACUCAGUUCCAAAAUACUUUCUCUUAAAAGUAUAGAUCUGGAUCAAAUUAAUAUAGCCUUGAAACUUCUAGUAAUAAAAUCCAGUUGACUAAAGUUAAAUAUUAUUUCAUAUGUUUCAUAGCUCUUCGAUGCUCAGUUUAAAAGAUAAGGGAAUAAUAAGGAUUAGAAAAACAGAAGAACAAGUGGGGAUUUUCAAUUUGUUUUAGAGUUUCAAUGAAAAACUAAUAAUAUUUUUUAAUUUAUUUUUCUAUUUGGUUGAAAUGUAGUUAGGUGUAUGGGUAAUAAUGUUUUUCUAAUCAUUAUAGUAUUUGAUAUUAUUUUCUUAAUCUUUUAAACUGAGCAUUGAAAAGCAAUGGAAAAAAUUCCAAAUAGUUAGCACAUACAAAAAUAGAUAAUUCGUAUAUUAAAAAAAACAUAAUUUUAUGUAGAGGUUUGGAUUCCGCCCUUGUAUGUUUCUCAGUUUUAUAAAUCAAAUUCAGAUGGAAAAAUAAUGUAGAGCCGGUAUAACCUUUUAUUAGUAUAUCUUCAUCACAAAUGGAGUAUACUGUUACGUACAUAAAAACAAAAUAUAAGCCCAAAGACCGAACAGCCGAACACCAAAGUAGCCAUAAAUCUUGGAGGAAAACGUGAUGAGUUCACGAUCAUAUUUAUUUUUCAGGCAUAUUUCUACAUUAUCUAUAAAAAGCAAAGAGAAUCAUGCCAACAACAAUUAUGAUUAGUCGACUUUGUAAAUGUGAUGAUACAUAUUCAAGUUAUCCAAUUUAAACAUCUUUAACAAUUAUGGCUAUAAUUAUGUUGUAUCUAUAACGAGAGUCGGAGACGUUAGACCAAAGUAUCCAAAGAUAGGUUUAACUUGAAAAUAACAAUUAUUGAUAGGGGUUCCACCAAUAUCAUUCGAGUCUAUCAUGUUUCCCAUACUUUUGCAGGUAACACGAACAUGUAACGUGACAAAAUUUUGUUUUCCUCAACGGUAACAAUUUAAUUUACCUAUUCUAUUCGUGAAUCGAUUAGACGUUUGAAACUAAAUUAUAUUGGACAUAGAAAAAAAAAACAAAAACAAUACAGACAACCGGCAAAAAAAAGAGUCCAGCGUAAUUUGUUUAGCUGUUUAGAGAAAAACUGUUAUCAUCAAUUAUGAUAGAUUCAAAUUUGAAUAUAGUAUAGCUUGCUGGGGAAUGAAGGACUUUUGUAUUACAUAGUUCUCAAAUGUGUUAUGAGCAUCAGUAGUUAAUUGUAGAUGAGCUGUGUAGGAUGUUUAGGGGAAACGAAAAAGAGUGUAGCUUAAGAGGGUAGCUUUAGACUGAAUUUUUGUGUGUAUAUAUUGCAUCUAAUGGAAAAAAAUUAGAAUUAAUUAUAAACUGUUCUAUAGAAAAACGUAUGAAUUAAGAAUUAGUCAGUGUCAACUUCUUUAUAACAUCAAAGAGCUUUGAUUUCUCUAGAUGGUAAUAAAUUAGUAACAAAUAUAGUGGCAAACUAACAAAAAAUGAACAAAUACUCUUUUGGUUAAAAAAGGAUCCAUGUUUUAAAACAAAAUUUGCUUCAAAAAAAUAUAUUUUACAUUUUAAUUCAAUUUUUAUUAAAUAAUAAUGACAAUUUGUAAGCUCUUUAAAAAUAAUUAUAUUUAUUAAAUUGUGAUUGGCUAAAAGUUGUAGAAAAUAGUUAAUCAUAAAAAAAAAUUAUAAUUAAAACUGCAAGAUGAUUUUGUGUCAAAAAUCUAAAAGAUAUUCUCUUAAUGAGUAUGAUAUAACUAAAAUUGCAGUAGUAUAAUUGAUUUCGAUAGAAUUUCAUUUAUUAAUUAGAAAACUGAAUUAUUUCACGACACUGAGACUUGUCCUAUAAAUACAACAUUUCCUCCUCUUAACUUGUAUCACAAAGCUAAAUACGAAAGAAACAUGGGGUUCUUGGGUAAGAGUAUAUUGUCGAGUCUCCUUGCAAUAUGGUUCUUCACUUCCUGUGCUUUCACUGAAGAAGUGAACCAUGUGAACCAAACGCCUUCCUCUGCUCCUGCUCCAUCUCCUUACCACCACGGCCACCACCACCCACAUCCUCCCCAUCACCACCACCCUCACCCUCACCCACCGGCAAAAGCCCCUGUCAAGCCGCCGGUUUCUCCACCUUCUAAACCUCCGGUUAAGCCUCCAGUUUACCCCCCAACCAAAUCCCCGGUUAAGCCCCCAACUAAACCUCCGGUUAAGCCACCAGUUUCCCCACCAGCAAAACCUCCUGUUAAACCUCCGGUUUACCCUCCGACCAAAGCUCCAGUUAAGCCCCCAGUCAAACCUCCGGUUAAGCCACCAGUUUCACCACCGGCCAAACCUCCAAUAAAGCCACCAGUUUCACCACCGGCCAAACCUCCGGUUAAGCCCCCGGUUUACCCUCCGACCAAAGCCCCUGUUAAGCCCCCGACCAAAGCCCCGGCUAAGCCUCCGGUCUCUCCUCCAGCCAAACCACCAGUAUCCCCUCCAGCUAAGCCACCGGUGAAGCCACCGGUUUACCCGCCAAAAUUCAACAGAAGCC